rnacentral:rRNA from 1 species
AUACGGAGGGUGCAAGCGUUAUCCGGAUUUAUUGGGUUUAAAGGGUGCGUAGGCGGUUUGAUAAGUCAGCGGUGAAAUAUUUCAGCUUAACUGGAAGGGUGCCGUUGAUACUGUCAGGCUUGAAUUUAGUUGCUGUGGGUGGAAUGUGUGGUGUAGCGGUGAAAUGCAUAGAUAUAACACAGAACACCAAUUGCGAAGGCAGCUUACUGGGAUACAACUGACGCUGAGGCACGAAAGCGUGGGGAUC